rnacentral:rRNA from 1 species
UACGUAGGGUCCGAGCGUUUGUCCGGAAUUAUUGGGCGUAAAGCGCACGUAGGCGGCCGACUAAGUCGGGUGUGAAAGCCCAGGGCUCAACCCUGGAAGUGCACUCGAAACUGACCGGCUUGAAUAUGGAAGAGGGUCGCGGAAUUCCCGGUGUAGAGGUGAAAUUCGUAGAUAUCGGGAGGAACACCAGUGGCGAAGGCGGCGACCUGGGCCAAUAUUGACGCUGAGGUGCGAAAGCGUGGGGAGCAAACAGG